rfam:Heterocephalus glaber contig11579, whole genome shotgun sequence.
UGUAGCUCAAUGGUAGAGCACAUGCUUAGCAUGCAAGAGGCCCUGGAUUCAAUUCCCCAGCA